rnacentral:rRNA from 1 species
AUUGAACGCUGGCGGCAGGCCUAACACAUGCAAGUCGAACGGUAACAGGAAGCAGCUUGCUGCUUUGCUGACGAGUGGCGGACGGGUGAGUAAUGUCUGGGAAACUGCCUGUUGGAGGGGGAUAACUACUGGAAACGGUAGCUAAUACCGCAUAACGUCGCAAGACCAAAGAGGGGGACCUUCGGGCCUCUUGCCAUCGGAUGUGCCCAGAUGGGAUUAGCUAGUAGGUGGGGUAACGGCUCACCUAGGCGACGAUCCCUAGCUGGUCUGAGAGGAUGACCAGCCACACUGGAACUGAGACACGGUCCAGACUCCUACGGGAGGCAGCAGUGGGGAAUAUUGCACAAUGGGCUCAAGCCUGAUGCAGCCAUGCCGCGUGUAUGAAGAAGGCCUUCGGGUUGUAAAGUACUUUCGGCGGGGAGGAAGGGAGUAAAGUUAAUACCUUUGCGCAUUGACGUUACCCGCAGAAGAAGCACCGGCUAACUCCGUG